UCCGUAGGGGGCAAUCGUUGUCCGGAUUUAUUGGGAGUAAAGAGCGUGUAGGCGGUUUGGUAGGUCCGCUGUGAAAACUCGAGGCUCAACCUCGAGACGCCGGUGGAAACCAUCAGGCUAGAGUCCGGAAGAGGAGAGUGGAAUUCCUGGUGUAGCGGUGAAAUGCGCAGAUAUCAGGAAGAACACCCGUGGCUAAGGCGGCUCUCUAGUACGGUACUGACGCUGAGACGCGAAAGCGUGGGGAGCGAACAGG
rnacentral:rRNA from 1 species